rnacentral:rRNA from 1 species
GCGGCAGCAUGAUGUGUAGCAAUACACAUUGAUGGCGAGCGGCGGACGGGUGAGUAAUGCAUGGGGAUCUGCCCAGUAGCGGGGGACAACCCGGAGAAAUCCGGGCUAAUACCGCAUACGCCCUACGGGGGAAAGCGGGGGACCGAAAGGCCUCGCACUAUUGGAUGAACCCAUGUCCGAUUAGCUAGUUGGUGAGGUAACGGCUCACCAAGGCAACGAUCGGUAGCUGGUCUGAGAGGACGAUCAGCCACACCGGAACUGAGACACGGUCCGGACUCCUACGGGAGGCAGCAGUGGGGAAUAUUGGAUAAUGGGGGAAACCCUGAUCCAGCGACGCCGCGUGUGUGAAGAAGGCCUGCGGGUUGUAAAGCACUUUUAGUGGGGACAAAAAGCUACGGAUUAAUACUCUGUGGUCUUGAUUUAACCCAAAGAAAAAGCACCGGCUAACUCUGUGCCAGCAGCCGCGGUAAUACAGAGGGUGCGAGCGUUAAUCGGAAUUACUGGGCGUAAAGCGCGCGUAGACGGUUUUGUAAGUCAGAUGUGAAAUCCCUGGGCUCAACCUGGGAAACUGCAUUUGAGACUGCAUGGCUAGAGUAUCG